rnacentral:rRNA from 1 species
GUAUAGUUAGAUUAAAUUUGAAUGUUGGAGUUUUUUAUAAAUUUUAUUGUUAAAUAAUUAAGAAUUAUUUUUAAAAGAAUUUUUUACUGUAAAGGAUGUUUGAAAUAAUUUUGAUAAUAAAAUAUAUAUAAAGAUAUAAAUUUUACCUUUUGUAUUAGGGAUUAAUAAUUAAAUUUAAAUAUUUAAAGUUCCCGAAUAAUAAAGAGUUAGUGUAAUAUAUCUAUAUUGUUGAAUAAAUAUUAAGAAUAUUAUACUGGUAAUGAAAUUUUAGUCAAUUUAUUGGAUAUCUGGUUAUAUUAAUAUUUUAUAUGAAAUUUUAUAAUGGGUUUUUAUUUUAAAAUGUUAUAAAUUAGGUUGUAGGGAUAAGCUUAUACUUUAAUUAUAAGGGGUAUGUAUAUUUAUUAGAGGCUUAUAAUUAGCUUAUUAUUGUAAUAAAGGAUUAUGUAUAAGGGGAAUUAUUAAUUAUAUAAUAUUAUAUAUAUAAUUUUCUAUUUAUUUAAUAAUGUUAAUAUGAGUAUAAUUAAAGAGAGAAUAUGAAAUUUAAUUUUUAGGAAUUCGGCAUAAUAUUAGUAAUAAUAUGUAGAUUUGACUGUUUAACAAAAACAUUUCUUUACGUUUUAUGUGAAGUAUAUCCUGCUCAAUGAUUAUUGUAAAUUGCCGUGGUAUUUUAACUAUGCGAAGGUAUUGAAAUAAGUCUUUAAUUGGGAGCUAAGAGAAUGGGUGAACAAAUUUAAACUUUUUUAAAAUUAAUAUUAUAAUUUUUUGUUAUAGUGAGGAUUCUAUAAUAAUGUAAUGGGACGAGAAGACCCUAUGAAUUUUUAUUUAUAUCAUAGAUGUGAUAGUUUUUAAAUUUAGAAUAAAUUUAAUUGGGGCGAUUUUAAAUAAAGUAUAACUUUAUGAAGAUCCUAUAAUAUUGGAUUUAUUGAGAAAAAUACUCUAGGGAUAACAGCGUAAUCAUUUUUGAUAGUUCAUAUAGAAAAAAUGGUUUGCGACCUCGAUGUUGGGUUAAUAAGUCUUUUAGGUGUAGAAGCUUAAAAAGAGAGUUUGUUCAACUUUUAAAUUAUUACAUGAUCUGAGUUCAGACCGGCGUGAGCCAGGUUAGUUUCUAUCUAUUUAGUGAUAUUUUUUAAUAUUAGUACGAAAGGAAUAUAUUACUAUAAUUAUUAUUAAGAGAGAA